AACGCGAAGAACCUUACCAGGUCUUGACAUCCCUCUGACCGGUCCGUAACGGGACCUUUCCUUCGGGACAGAGGAGACAGGUGGUGCAUGGUUGUCGUCAGCUCGUGUCGUGAGAUGUUGGGUUAAGUCCCGCAACGAGCGCAACCCCUAUCCUUAGUAGCCAGCAGUUCGGCUGGGCACUCUAGGGAGACUGCCAGGGAUAACCUGGAGGAAGGCGGGGAUGACGUCAAAUCAUCAUGCCCCUUAUGAUCUGGGCUACACACGUGCUACAAUGGUGGCUACAAAGAGAAGCAAACCUGCGAGGGGGAGCAAAUCUCAGAAAGGCCAUCCCAGUUCGGAUUGUAGUCUGCAACUCGACUACAUGAAGCUGGAAUCGCUAGUAAUCGCGAAUCAGAAUGUCGCGGUGAAUACGUUCCCGGGUCUUGUACACACGC
rnacentral:rRNA from 1 species